rnacentral:rRNA from 1 species
AGAGUUUGAUCAUGGCUCAGGAUAAACGCUGGCGGCGUGCCUAACACAUGCAAGUCGCACGUCCUCGCUUUUCGGAGUGAGGGAGUGGCGGACGGGUGAGGAACACAUGGGUGACCUGCCUUCCAGUGAGGAAUACCGGCGAGAAAUCGCCGACAAUACCGCAUGGGCUCGCGGGGUCGCACCCACGAGCAAAGCUCCGCAAGGGGCGCUGGAAGAGGGGCCCGUGGCCGAUUAGCUGGUUGGUGGGGUAAAAGCCUACCAAGGCGACGAUCGGUAGCUGGUCUGAGAGGACGAUCAGCCACACUGGGAUUGAGAACGGCCCAGACUCCUACGGGGGGCAGCAGUGAGGAAUUUUCCGCAAUGGACGCAAGUCUGGCGGAGCAACGCCGCGUGCAGGAGGAAGGUCUUCGGAUCGUAAACUGCUUUUCCCAGGGACGAGCACGGACGGUACCUGGGGAACAAGCCCCGGCUAACUACGUGCCAGCAGCCGCGGUAAUACGUAGGGGGCAAGCGUUGUCCGGAUUUAUUGGGCGUAAAGCGCCCGCAGGCGGUCGCGUCAGUUUGGGGUGACAGCUCCUGGCUUAACCGGGAGAGGACCUCGAAGACGGCGUGACUUGAGGGCCAGAGAGGGACAUGGAACUCCGGGUGGAGUGGUGAAAUGCGUAGAGAUCCGGAAGAACACCAAAGGCGAAGGCAGCGUCCUGGCUGGCCCCUGACGCUGAGGGGCGAAAGCGAGGGGAGCGAACGGGAUUAGAUACCCCGGUAGUCCUCGCCGUAAACGAUGACCACCAGGUGUGGGAGGGAUCGACCCCUUCCGUGCCGGCGUUAACGCACUAAGUGGUCCGCCUGGGGAGUACGGUCGCAAGAUUAAAACUCAAAGGAAUUGACGGGGACCCGCACAAGCAGCGGAGCGUGUGGUUUAAUUCGAAGCAACGCGAAGAACCUUACCAGGGCUUGACAUGCAUUUACACCGUCCAGAGAUGGACGUGCCCGCAAGGGACGGAUGCACAGGUGCUGCAUGGCUGUCGUCAGCUCGUGCCGUGAGGUGUUGGGUUAAGUCCCGCAACGAGCGCAACCCCUGUCGUUGGUUAGGAUGUCCAAGGAGACUGCCACGAGUAACGUGGAGGAAGGUGGGGAUGACGUCAAGUCAGCACGGCCCUGACGUCCUGGGCGACACACACGCUACAAUGGCCGCCACAAUGGGUUGCCAACCCGCGAGGGGGAGCCAAUCCCAACAAAGGCGGUCUCAGUUCAGAUUGCAGGCUGCAACUCGCCUGCAUGAAGGCGGAGUUGCUAGUAACCGUGGGUCAGCACACCACGGUGAAUACGUUCCCGGGUCUUGUACACACCGCCCGUCACACCACGAAAGUCGGCUACACCUGAAGCCGCUGGGCUAACUGGGCAACCAGAGGCAAGCGUCGAGGGUGGGGUCGGUGAUUGGGGUGAAGUCGUAACAAGGUAACC